UAUUAUCUGCGUAAUUUUGAUGAGGUCAGACGGUUUUCACAGAGUCAUGUUGUGUUGUUCUUUACUGGUAAGCAAUUUGACAGUGUGUGUCAUUGUUUUGUCACUGCUGCUGUUGUAUUCUUCUCAGUUAUAUGAACACUUUGUUCUUCUUGCUGAUCAGAAUGCUGGAAAGGAACAGUGUGUGUUUCCACUGCCUGAACCCCAGGACCUCCUUCAGACCUCACAGAUGAAGUUUGAAGAUUUUCAAAAAGACCUCAGAAAACUAAAGAGAGACCUGAGAGUGUGGUGCAAUCUCUCCUAUGGAGAGAAACAGAUCCUUCCAGCUGCAGCAUGCACAGCUGACCUCUGACUCCCCAGCUUCCCCUUCCACCUGCUUUCCCAGAAAGGCUGAGCUGUCCCACUGCCGCCUGCUGCUUCCACUUGUGCUGCUGCCACCAUCACUGCCACGCCCCUUCUCUCCAGUACAUGCUGAGGUCCCGUCUACCUCUUUGAGGAUCUGUAGAUUCCAGAAUCCUGGCAGACUCUCUCGACACUGCCGCAGAAGAUCACGGACCACUUGUUGAGACAUCGGGGGCCAUCCAAGGCAAAGCCUCACAGUUGCAUGUGUAGCCCGACCUGUGGGGCACCAGGUCUCAGCUGCUUCCUGCUCCUGAUCAUCCAGAAGCCACACCUACCUUGUCCACCUCUCACCUGGCAGUCCUGGCAGAGGCAAGCCUGGUCACCAAGGAGGUGACGGCAAAAAGCCUCCAUUGAAGGGAGGCUUUGAUCAAUGGAGUGAGGGCCUCUCCCCUUCUUCAGGGAAGCCUGGCACACUGCUGUCUGUCUCCCUGGUCUGCUUCCCACUGGAGUGUCGCCUCUGGUGUCAGCUGUGUUCCUGGCUGUCACUGGCACGCUGGAGGUGCUCCAUGAAGAUCUGAUGGGUGAGGGCACAAAUGGUCUCUUUCUCCUGCCCAGGCUCCCAGGUGCUACCUGAACACCUGCAACUUUAACUCCUGUGUCUGCAUGUUGCUGACCCCACUAGGUUCCCCAUGCGGGGCUUCUCCUCCUCCCACUGACACUCAUCUCCCACAGGGAGGGCUCAGCCAGCCCCUGAGCCCACUGAGCCCUUGCUGUGGAAGUUCCACCAGAUCAGUGAGAAGGACGCUCUCCACUCCCCCUAUUAUAGCUCCCAGGAUGGGGAGGCAGGCUGCGAUGGGAAAGGAUGGGUAUGGCCCUCCAGCCCACCUCUGCUUUCCCAAUGCAACCACAGCCCCAGUUACAGCUUUGACUCCCUUCCUCAGACCUUGCCCUCUUACAAGAUCCAUGAUGUGUGGGAUCCAAGAUUCUGCCAGCACAUCUGAUCCACAGUCCUCACACUCCUCUCCCAGUUCUGUGGAGAAGGGAGCCUCUCCUGUUGGAUCCAAAGCUCACUCACAUGCCAGCUGGUCCAGGGCUCUGCUGCCGUCAGCAGAAUGCAUCAGGAUGCACCCACGUCUGCAGGCGGCCAGCUGUGGGCACACGGACUGCACCGUGGGCACUGCCUGCUGGUAAUGUGUCCCGGGACUGUCUGACUCCCGACUAGGCUGAAGCCCUGAGGGCAGGGUUGUCUGCUCUGUGCACGGGAUUAUGGUUUGUGUCUGGAAAAGGGCUUGUGCCUGGUAGCUUCCUAUACAUUUGAUGAAUGAAUGAGGCCCAGCCGGUCCCAUCAGAGCUGUCUGAGUUGGCCUGAGGCCUCUCGAUAUGUUCUCAGGGAUCCCUGACUGGCUUCAUUCAGGACAGGAACACCCCAGAAGAAAUCUCAACUCUCCUCCUCAAUAGGGACAAACAUCUCAUUCCAACAGCCAUGGAGACAGUGAUGGAUGAGGCCAAGCCCUGGGGAAGGAGAAAACACACUAGCACAAGAGCUCCUCCAGCAGACCUACCGCAGGGCCAGGAACCCAGACAGCGCUUUCACGGAGGACGUCACAGUCCUCACAGUAACCCUAUGGGGUUAACCCUCUAUUCACCCCACUGUGCAGGGGCGCAGCCUGAGGCUCAGAGAAGUGUAGUGACCUUCUGAAGGCUGACCGCUGGCAGGUGGCCGAGUCCCCACCCUGCUGUGGAGAGGCAGGGCCCUCACCUUUGGAACAGCAGGCGCAGGACCAGUUGGGUGAUGGCAGAUGCUCAGUAAGUGCAGGGAAUGUGGGGACACAGGGGGGUCAUUUCCCAGGAAAUUGGGUACCAGGUGCUCCACUAGUUUUCCAGCCUGCCUGGCUGGAAGGUGCACACCAUGCAGGCUUCAUUCCUGUUCACUGUUGAUCCACUUUUGCCCUGGGAUGGUGCAGAGGAGGGACAUGCAGUCAGGAAGAGCACCAUGGGCCACUAGGAAGGAGGGUUAGGGGCUGGAGCUCAGGCUCAAACCCCGAACCUCAUGUCUUUGACAAGAAGUGGGUGAAUGAAAAAAAAUUCCUAGCAUUAAAUGUAGAAUUUGAGGUGGAGAAUGACUGAAAAUGUUAGUCCUGAGGUCAUUUUGUUAGCUGAGUAAUGACAGCACCUCCCUGUAUCAAGCACAUCAUUUCAGUGAGUCCUGAUGAAACAUCGCAUAGUGGAGAUAAGAACCCAGAGGCUUGUCCUGGGGAGGCAUCUGGUAUCAGGACAUGCAGGACGCUCAGGGCAGCGCUGCUGAAAUGGCAACAGAAGGAAUCACAUGAGAGCCCCACAUCAGGAAAGGGCUGGAUAUAGUGGUAACCGGUCUUCCUUGUGAAAUCUUGUGCAGCUCACUGAGGUCCCAGAUAUCUUUGGGUCUUUUGACCCCUGAAAGUUCUUGGAGUAUUGUUUAAGUAGAAAUAAACUUUGAUGUCUAAAUAACAAACAAACAAAUACAAAAUAUAAAAACAAACAAAGAACAGGAUAUGUUCCUCAGGUCAGCAAAAUGCAGAGAAAUAAACAUAGUUCCAUGAGCUCCAUGUCCUUUUGGGUAAAAGCAAUCCCACCAGUCACAGUGAUGGGUAAGACUUUGAGAAGAAGUGGAUGGAUUUUCAGGACAAUAUGGACCGGUGGGUAAGUGUUAAAAGAAGAAAAUCCAUACAAAAAGGCAAAAAUACUCUUGACUAAA